GCACCCGUAGCGCAGCUGGAUAGCGCGACGCCCUCCGAAGGCGUAGGUCACAGGUUCGAAUCCUGUCGGGUGCGCCA
rnacentral:tRNA from 1 species